ACUCCUACGGGAGGCAGCAGUGGGGAAUUUUGCGCAAUGGGGGAAACCCUGACGCAGCAACGCCGCGUGGAGGAUGAAGUCCCUUGGGAUGUAAACUCCUUUCGACCCGGACGAUACUGACGGUACGGGUGGAAGAAGCCCCGGCUAACUUCGUGCCAGCAGCCGCGGUAAUACGAAGGGGGCUAGCGUUGUUCGGAUUUACUGGGCGUAAAGCGCGUGUAGGCGGCCUCCUCAGUCUGGUGUGAAAGCCCGGGGCUUACCCCCGGAAGUGCAUUGGAUACUGGGAGGCUGGAGUACCGGAGAGGAGGGUGGAAUUCCUGGUGUAGCGGUGAAAUGCGUAGAUAUCAGGAGGAACACCGGUGGCGAAGGCGGCAUCCUGGACCAAUUCUGACGCUGAGUGAGCGAAAGCCAGGGGAGCAAACGGGAUUAGAUACCCCGGUAGUCCUGGCCCUAAACGAUGAAUGCUUGGUGUGGCGGGUAUCGAUCCCUGCCGUGCCGAAGCUAACGCAUUAAGCAUUCCGCCUGGGGAGUACGGUCGCAAGGCUGAAACUUAAAGGAAUUGACG
rnacentral:rRNA from 1 species